UACGGAGGGGGCUAGCGUUGUUCGGAAUUACUGGGCGUAAAGCGCGCGUAGGCGGCUUUGUAAGUUAGAGGUGAAAGCCCAGGGCUUAACCCUGGAAUUGCCUUUAAGACUGCAUCGCUAGAAUCGUGGAGAGGUAAGUGGAAUUCCGAGUGUAGAGGUGAAAUUCGUAGAUAUUCGGAAGAACACCAGUGGCGAAGGCGACUUACUGGACACGUAUUGACGCUGAGGUGCGAAAGCGUGGGGAGCAAACAGG
rnacentral:rRNA from 1 species